UCUUAUUACCUACUUAACAAUGUGAAUUCCAUAAACAAUUGUUACAAAAUUAUUUCUAAGAUAAUCAAUAAGACCCUUCUUAUUCAUUUGUCAUUUUCAUCCCUACAGAUAACCUAAGAUGCAUUAAAAAAAGAAAAGGAGUGGUUAGAUGCACGAAUAGAUGACAGUCUGAGGGGCAAGGGGCAGAGAGCUGUAAAGCAGCCAGUAAGGUAUUCACCUGAGCAGACUUCUGAAGAAUCUUGCUCUGAUGAGGAGAUAGUGGCACAAAAAAGACCCAGGAUCUGCAGUGUUCCUAAACCUAAUAAGAACAAAGUUGCUGCUGUACAAAAAGCUAAUUCUGAAUUGCUUGAGAAAUACAAAACAGCUAGCAAUACUAAUGAUGGAUAUCCUGGUCAGAUUAGCAGAGAUAGACUCCUUAAAAAAAUUGAAACUCUGGAGGAUGAGCUGCAAUGAAAAAGUAUUAAAAUAAAACAACUCGCUAAACUGAACAUGCAACUCCAAGAAGGCAUACCUGCACUGAUAGAUGCUUCAGUAAAGAAGUAUGUUCAGAAACAUCUACCAAGUAAAGUCAGGCCUACAGAAACUUCACCAGAACAAGCAGCAAAUCAGUUGCAUCCAGUUGCCAACUCUGCAACACAUGCAGAGAUUUCAUGCAACAGGGAUAGUAAGAUAGAUGGCUUAUUGAAUCCAAUAGCCCAGCAAGAGGCAAGACAGGCCAGUGACUAUAAAAAAAAUGACAAGAAAUCUGAUGGGGGCAAUGUUCUCAAAAGAACAAUUAACAGAGUCCUCAGUCACUGGCAAAAAAGGCAUCCCAUGCAAUGACGUCAGGCAGGCACUGGAUUCUUCGAAAGUUAGG